CCUGCCUCCUGCAGGAGCUGGUGCACACCAGACGGUCUCAGCCCCAGCUGGUCAUCAUGGCACGAAGCAUCGGUGAGACUGCUGGCAGCGGCAGCACGAUGUCAGCAGUGCGCAGCAUUGCUGAGCAGUGCUGUGCUGUCUACGGUGGUUCUGCUGCUGACUGUGCUAAGGGCAUCCACCAGACGCGCCACCUGCUGCAAAAGAC
rnacentral:lncRNA from 1 species